ncrna:unclassified sequences type-P1 twister ribozyme
GUAUUAAACUAACUUGCACAUCAGAGGUGUAAGCGGUUACAAGUCCGCAUAAAUAGUGAGUAGUAC